CCGAGUUUACAACUCCCAAACCCCUGUGAACAUACCACUUGUUGCCUCGGCGGAUCAGCCCGCUCCCGGUAAAACGGGACGGCCCGCCAGAGGACCCCUAAACUCUGUUUCUAUAUGUAACUUCUGAGUAAAACCAUAAAUAAAUUCA
rnacentral:misc_RNA from 1 species